AUUGAACGCUGGCGGCAGGCCUAACACAUGCAAGUCGAACGAGUGGCGGACGGGUGAGUAAUUUCUUGGAAACUGCCCGAUGUAGCGGGCUAACUACUGGAACCGGUAGCUAAUACCGCAUACCCUCGUUUUUGCCCACAUGGGAUUAGCUAGUAGGUGGGGUAACGGCUCACCUAGGCGACGAUCCCUAGCUGGUCUGAGAGGAUGACCGGCCACACUGGAACUGAGACACGGUCCAGACUCCUACGGGAGGCAGCAGUGGGGAAUAUUGCACAAUGGGCGCAAGCCUGAUGCAGCCAUGCCGCGUGUAUGAAGAAGGCCUUCGGGUUGUAAAGUACUUUCAGCGGGGAGGCGUUACUCGCAGAAGAAGCACCGGCUAACUCCGUGCCAGCAGCCGCGGUAAUUC
rnacentral:rRNA from 1 species